CGCUUUUUCUUUCACCGUGAUCUUGCUCCACCGAAAGAAAAAGAGUGGCGAACGGGUGAGUAACACGUGGGUAACCUGCCCAUCACAAGGGGAUAACACUUGGAAACAGGUGCUAAUACCGUAUAACACUAUUUUCCGCAUGGAAGAAAGUUGAAAGGCGCUUUUGCGUCACUGAUGGAUGGACCCGCGGUGCAUUAGCUAGUUGGUGAGGUAACGGCUCACCAAGGCAACGAUGCAUAGCCGACCUGAGAGGGUGAUCGGCCACACUGGGACUGAGACACGGCCCAGACUCCUACGGGAGGCAGCACUACGGAAUCUUCGGCAAUGGACGAAAGUCUGACCGAGCAACGCCGCGUGAGUGAAGAAAGUUUUCGGAUCGUAAAACUCUGUUGUUAGAGAAGAACAAGGAUGAGAGUAAAAUGUUCAUCCCUUGACGGUAUCUAACCAGAAAGCCACGGCUAACUACGUGCCAGCAGCCGCGGUAAUACGUAGGUGGCAAGCGUUGUCCGGAUUUAUUGGGCGUAAAGCGAGCGCAGGCGGUUUCUUAAGUCUGAUGUGAAAGCCCCCGGCUCAACCGGGGAGGGUCAUUGGAAACUGGGAGACUUGAGUGCAGAAGAGGAGAGUGGAAUUCCAUGUGUAGCGGUGAAAUGCGUAGAUAUAUGGAGGAACACCAGUGGCGAAGGCGGCUCUCUGGUCUGUAACUGACGCUGAGGCUCGAAAGCGUGGGGAGCGAACAGGAUUAGAUACCCUGGUAGUCCACG
rnacentral:rRNA from 1 species